rnacentral:lncRNA from 1 species
UCUGCAUCACUCCACUCCAGCCAAACAUCUCGGUAAGUGGGAGGAAGUAACUGAUGAACUGACUAAAGGAAAAACAGAGACUCUGGGCUUGGUCAUGUGACUUACUUCAGUCAAUGGGACAUUAGCAAGAAUAAUAAAGCAGGAGUUUGAUAAGAAUUUGUACAUUUUGGCUUAUCAUCUUAAAAUAUUCUUGGAAGCCAGAUGCAAUAAGAAGUCCAGCCACCCUAAGACCACUAUAUGUGAGGAAACCCAAGCUAGUCAUGUGGAAAAAACAUGUAAACAGAGGGAUGCCUGGCUAGUCUCCAGCUUAGUCAUGGGAGUGAAGAAGCCACUUUGGAUGUUCCAGCCUUGGAAGAUACUUCCUGGAACCGAAGAAACACCUUGCUGAGCCCAGCACAGACUGCAGAAUCAUGAGAAAUAAUAGUUGGUUUAAGCCACUACAUUUUGGAGUGGUUUGUUAUAUAACUAAAACAAGCAAUGAUAGAAAAGUCUAGCAAACCAAUUAGUUAUUUGUAAGAAGUAAAAAUGUUAUAGAAACCUAA